ensembl:ribozyme RNaseP_nuc Nuclear RNase P
AGUGGAGGUAGCUACCUCCAGAGGUCAGCAAACUGAGUGUCCAUCACUCCACCCCACAACCCGGGGAAAGACUGAGGACAAGAGCCAAUCACUGCCCUCGCAGGGUGUCACCUGAUCCAGGUGAAGUGAGGACCCCAGAGAAGCUGGAAGCUGAUGGAAGGUUCAGGUAGGAGAAAUCGGUGUGCAGGAACGCACUGCUGCUGGAGAACGACCCGACAACCGGCUUUGGAAAAGAAUCACGGCUGGAAAACAGAUUCCCAUGUGGUGAGCUGGGAGUUCACCCUCCAGAACCAGAAUUCAGACUACUCUCUCUCAACU